rnacentral:rRNA from 1 species
AUUGAACGCUGGCGGAAUGCUUUACACAUGCAAGUCGAACGGCAGCACGGGGCAACCUGGUGGCGAGUGGCGAACGGGUGAGUAAUACAUCGGAACGUGCCCAAUCGUGGGGGAUAACGUAGCGAAAGUUACGCUAAUACCGCAUACGAUCUACGGAUGAAAGCGGGGGAUCGCAAGACCUCGCGCGAAUGGAGCGGCCGAUGUCAGUAUUAGGUAGUUGGUGGGGUAAAGGCUCACCAAGCCGACGAUCUGUAGCUGGUCUGAGAGGACGACCAGCCACACUGGGACUGAGACACGGCCCAGACUCCUACGGGAGGCAGCAGUGGGGAAUUUUGGACAAUGGGCGCAAGCCUGAUCCAGCCAUUCCGCGUGCAGGAUGAAGGCCUUCGGGUUGUAAACUGCUUUUGUACGGAACGAAACGGUUCUCUCUAAUACAGGGGCUUAAUGACGGUACCGUAAGAAUAAGCACCGGCUAACUACGUG